UAUUUUCUUUAGAUGCAGUAUCAACUGGGACCUCUACCUUUUUCAGGAAUUUUAUUAUACUAGAUUGGAUUUUGGAAUCUGGAUUUUUCUGACCAAAGCAGCCAUGUGAAAGGUUAUCCAGUGGCCCGAGUUUUUGCAGCUUUUCCACCCUGCAAAUUUCCUUCAUGCCCAGAUCGUUUAACAGAUCGAGAAAUACAAAGCUUAGCAGGAAGAUCAAGUACAACUGCAUGCAUAUCUAUUUGGGUUUCACCCUGAAGCUUUACAAAAUCUGAUCGCUGUUCUCUGUUAAGAUUGCACCUGUCAAUGAAUACACUCUUCCCAUCCUUUAAUCCUCUGGCUGCACUACUUAAACAUUGAGCUUUAUUUCCUGCUUUACCAUUUCCAAUAGUGUCCUAAAGCAAAAGAAGAGAAGUACAACCAAUGUUAGUCAAGAUUCAAAAUCACCUCCUGUGACCCCCAUUCCCUCUCAAAGCACAUACCAACAAGAAACAGUCUCCGUAUUGAUAGACUUAUCAUGUGAUAUUCCUAGGGAUUAUUUAUGCUACCUAAUAAAACUCACAAAAAAUGAAUUUAGGGUAUUUCAGUGAAAAUCCCUCACUUUCAUUCAUUCAUAAUACAAACUUCCAAACAGGGAAGAAGGUUUCUAUAA